UAGACCGUCGUGAGACAGGUU
rnacentral:ncRNA from 3 species